AUGGCGGCGGCGGCUGUGGCAGCGCGGGCGUACGAGGCGGCGUCGCGGUCCGCGCUGGCGGCGCUGGAGCGCAACCUCCUGCCCGACGCGGUCACCCGGCGGCUCACGCGCCUCCUGCUCGCGCAGCGCCUCCGCCUCGGCUACCUCCCCUCCGCGCCGCUCCAGCUGCAGGACCUCCUCCUCUUCGCCCACUCACUUGAAGGCAUGCCCAUUGCCAUUGAAACGGACACAGCUAAAACCCAGCACUACGAGCUGCCGACCACAUUCUUCAAGCUAGUGCUCGGAAAAAACCUCAAAUACAGCUCAUGUUACUUCCCCGAUGAUUCAAGCACCCUAGAAGAUGCCGAGGUUGCAAUGUUGGAGUUGUACUGUGAGAGGGCGCAGCUGCAAGAUGGCCAAAGCAUUCUCGAUGUUGGAUGUGGAUGGGGAUCCCUCUCUGUAUACAUAGCAAAGAAAUAUAGGAACUGCAAUAUCACAGGGAUAUGCAACUCAACAACUCAAAAGGCUUUUAUAGAAGAGCAGUGUAGGGAAAAUGAGCUAUCCAAUGUUGAGAUAAUUGUAGCAGACAUCAGCAAGUUUGAGAUGGAGCGUUCUUUUGACAGGAUCAUAUCCAUAGAGAUGUUUGAGCACAUGAAAAACUACAAGGCACUUCUUAAGAAGAUAUCUAGAUGGAUGAAAGAGGAUUCCUUAUUGUUUGUUCACUACUUCUGCCACAAGACAUUUGCGUAUCACUUCGAGGACAAGAAUGACGAUGAUUGGAUCACAAGGUAUUUCUUCACUGGAGGAACAAUGCCAUCAGCAAACCUCCUUCUCUACUUUCAGGAAGAUGUAUCUGUGGUCAAUCAUUGGCUUGUCAGUGGCACACAUUAUGCUAGAACCAGCGAGGAGUGGCUGAAAUGCAUGGACAAGAACAUCGCUACCAUAAGGCCAAUCUUUGAGAAGACUUAUGGGAGGGAAUCAGCUACCAAAUGGAUAGCUUAUUGGAGGACAUUCUUCAUCUCAGUAGCUGAACUUUUUGGAUAUAACAAUGGUGAUGAAUGGAUGGUUGCACAUCACCUGUUCCGAAAGAAUUAG
rnacentral:rRNA from 1 species